AGCAGCCGCGGUAAUUCCAGCUCCAAUAGCGUAUAUUAAAGUUGUUGCAGUUAAAAAGCUCGUAGUUGAAUUUCGGGAUCAAUAUGUUGGUCGUUGCCUCGGUACGUACUAGCUUAUUGGUUUCUCCUUUCUGAAGAACCAUGAUGUCAUUUAUUUGGUGUCGUGGGGAAUCAGGACUGUUACUUUGAAAAAAUUAGAGUGUUUAAAGCAGGCUCACGCUUGAAUACAUUAGCAUGGAAUAAUGAAAUAGGACGUUUGAUUCUAUUUUGUUGGUUUCUAGGAUCGACGUAAUGAUUAAUAGGGAUAGUUGGGGGCAUUAGUAUUCAAUUGUCAGAGGUGAAAUUCUUGGAUUUAUUGAAGACUAACUACUGCGAAAGCAUUUGCCAAGGAUGUUUUCAUUAAUCAAGAACGAAAGUUAGGGGAUCGAAGACGAUCAGAUACCGUCGUAGU
rnacentral:rRNA from 1 species